UACGUAGGGGGCAAGCGUUGUCCGGAUUUACUGGGCGUAAAGGGCGCGUAGGCGGCCACCGCAAGUCGGUUGUGAAAUCUCUGGGCUUAACCCAGAAAGGUCAACCGAUACUGCGGGGCUAGAGUGCAGAAGGGGCAACUGGAAUUCUCGGUGUAGCGGUGAAAUGCGUAGAUAUCGAGAGGAACACCUGCGGCGAAGGCGGGUUGCUGGGCUGACACUGACGCUGAAGCGCGACAGCGUGGGGAGCAAACAGG
rnacentral:rRNA from 1 species